rfam:Chondromyces apiculatus DSM 436 contig112, whole genome shotgun sequence.
CCGAGGGCGACCGAGGGUCUGGUGGAAGUCGUAGGUGCGUGGCCGUGUCGAGCGAGAGCGAAGCGCCGAAGAGGCGGCUGCACUUGGGUGAGCUGGCCCGCAGCAGUGAAGCCCGAAGUCCGCUGGAAGUGCAGGCGUAGAGGCGACGAGAGGGCCACGAAGUCCGUUGGU